rnacentral:lncRNA from 1 species
UGGAGGAUCUCCAUCCAAUUUUUGAUUUGUCUUGCAAGUCUUCUUGAAGUUAUUCCAGUUCGGAUUGCUACCUGCUUUCAGUUUGGUUUCCUCCAAUCUGCUUUAGUCUAAGAUUUUGAGUUUUGCGGCAACAAUUUUGUUUAUAAAUUUUAGAUACAGUUUAUAGGCCUAUGAAAGGGAAAGCAUGAAGGGCAAGAACUAAUACAGUCGAUAAAGAUACGGGGGU